rnacentral:tRNA from 1 species
CUAAUAGUGCCUGACUUAAAAGGGUUGUUUUGAUAGAACAAAUUAUGCGUUUGCUUAUUAGG